UUUGAUCCUGGCUCAGAACGAACGCUGGCGGCGUGCCUAACACAUGCAAGUCGAACGCGAAAGUCCUUCGGGAUGAGUAAAGUGGCGCACGGGUGAGUAACGCGUGGGUAACCUACCCCCCGGCGGGGGAUAACCACUCGAAAGGGUGGCUAAUGCCGCAUGAGACCACGGGGUCUUCGGAUCCUGAGGCCAAAGGCUGCAUCGGCUUGCCGGUGUAGUCACCGGAGGAUGGGCCCGCGUCCGAUUAGCUGGUUGGCGAGGUAACGGCUCACCAAGGCUACGAUCGGUAGCUGGUCUGAGAGGAUGAUCAGCCACACUGGAACUGGAACACGGUCCAGACUCCUACGGGAGGCAGCAGUGAGGAAUAUUGCGCAAUGGGGGAAACCCUGACGCAGCAACGCCGCGUGGGUGAAGAAGGCCUUCGGGUCGUAAAGCCCUUUCGGACGGGACGAACGCUCCGCGGGGACAAGCCGCGGAGUCUGACGGUACCGUAGGAAGAAGCACCGGCUAACUCCGUGCCAGCAGCCGCGGUAAUACGGAGGGUGCGAGCGUUGUUCGGAAUUACUGGGCGUAAAGCGCGUGUAGGCGGCUUUGCAAGCCAGACGUGAAAGCCCUCGGCUUAACCGGGAGAAGUGCGUCUGGAACUGCUUGGCUCGAGUACGGGAGAGGGAGGCGGAAUUCCCAGUGUAGAGGUGAAAUUCGUAGAUAUUGGGAGGAACACCGGUGGCGAAAGCGGCCUCCUGGACCGAUACUGACGCUGAGACGCGAAAGCGUGGGGAGCAAACAGGAUUAGAUACCCUGGUAGUCCACGCGGUAAACGAUGGGCACUAGGUGUGGGGGGUAUCCACUCCUCCCGUGCCGAAGCUAACGCAUUAAGUGCCCCGCCUGGGGAGUACGGCCGCAAGGUUAAAACUCAAAGGAAUUGACGG
rnacentral:rRNA from 1 species